UCUAAUGCAAGCAAUACAUUCCAUUCUGUUAUUUUAAUAACAUUUUCAGUUACAAAUUCUCCUUGACAAGGAAGUGCUUCUCCUCUUCCAUUUACUAUAUACAAUUAAUUUUAAUCAAAUGUAAAUUAAACUAUGAGAUUGAGAUCAACCUGUUUAAAAUUAUUACUUUUAAAAUGCACACAGCGCUCACACGAUGCUAAACGGAGAUUAAUAAAACCACUUAGACACAUCUCUGUUAACACUACCCACUCAAUGGAAUAAAGACAUAAUUAUUGCAGCAAAACCUAGAACUUAACUACAACACGUGUAGUUCCAAAAUGAACUAGUUCAAUAAAACGCAUUGAAGAUUCAUAUCAGCUGCUGCAUGAACACACUGCUAUUUGUUUUAAUGAAAACAAUUGCUCAAAAAUGUUGGAAAUACUUCAAAAUGACUUGACUUACAAGUCGCACUAACGAUUUAAAAUCGCUUUUUAUUAGCCGAAUGUAUUUAUUUAUAUUUAUUAGAAUAUUAUUAAAUUGCAUUUUCACAAGCGUGAGUAAAUUAAUAUUAUCUUUUAAAAGAUCAAGUUUCUUAAAUACUUAAACGCAUAUAAGGAACAUAAUAUAAUUUGUAUGUAUAUAUUUAUGAGGGAAAAUUGAUAAGAAAAAAACCCCAUGAGGGGGAAUACAUACGUACGUAUAGAUAUUUUUGGUUUUUAUAAUACUAUUUUAAAUUGGCAUUUUUGUGUGCUUAGUUGUUUGCGAAAUGAGAUUUAAUAAAUUCUUUUCGAUUGCGUUGCUCUUCCGCUACUGAUAUACCAUGGCCCAAACUCAGGAAGUUCGGUUUAUAGAAGGAUACACUAUUUUCAGCAUCUGAAAAUGUAUUCUUGUGUUAUGAAAACUUUAGAUGAAUGUUCUCAAUGAGUGAAAAACGUACCAACACUGGGAUCAUUCCAAUCAAUGGCCAUAUUAUGGAGUAGUGCCAACGCGGUAAUUGUUUGUUUCGCAGAACCGAAUGUGCCUAAAAGUUCACUGCCGAGAAUUCCAAAUCGACGAAACCAGAUGUUAAGACAUUUGAUAGCUGGGGCAAAGGUUACAGCAUGAGCAUGAUUGUAGAGUUCCUCGGCUUUAUUCCGAGGGUAUUGAAUGGGAGUAAACAGGCUGGAUGAGCACGAAAGUGAAUCAUUGCCGAGAAGAAUACGUCCGCGAAAUUCGUUCUGUUCAAAACGCUCCUUAAUGCGCGAUAAUGAGUAAACCUCUGGAGCAGUAUUCAGAUCAAGUUCAUCCGACAGCCGAAUGUCCAGGUCUCGAAUUUUAUGUUCAGCAUCCGAAACUAAUUGCAGAUGUACUAGCUCUGUUGGCGAUGGCGAGUCCAUAGAACCACCAUUUUGGUGGCUGCUUCUAUUAAUCUGCGAACGUGAAGUUUCCAAUUGCAAUCGCACAGUACUUUGAACAAGUGCGCCAAUAACUUGAGGCAUAUUUGAUAACGAUUGAAACGAUCGCAUCAUUCGUUCCUUCUCUGAGAGCGUUGCUGGCAUUCGGAUGUAUCGUGAUGCCUUUGAUGACAGCACUGAAGCCACACGACGAGUUAUUUUAGCCAUUGUAUGCAAACUAACUCCAUGCGCUAUAGCUGUUAGUUGGGGAUGCUAUGAAAAA